AUUGAACGCUGGCGGCAGGCCUAACACAUGCAAGUCGAGCGAGCGGCGGACGGGUGAGUAAUGUCUGGGAAACUGCCUGAUGGCGGGGGCUAACUACUGGAAACGGUAGCUAAUACCGCAUACCAUCAGAUGUGCCCAGAUGGGCUUAGCUAGUAGGUGGGGUAACGCCUCACCUAGGCGCCGAUCCCUAGCUGGUCUGAGGGGGUGACCAGCCAAACUGGAACUGAGACCUGGUCCAGAGUCCUAAGGUAGGCAGCAGUGGGGAAUAUUGCACAAUGGGCGCAAGCCUGAUGCUGCCAUGCCGCGUGUGUGAAGAAGGCCGUCGGGUUGUAAAGCACUCUCAGCGGGGAGGCGUUACCCGCAGAAGAAGCACCGGCUAACUCCGUGCAAGCAGCCGCGGUAAUUC
rnacentral:rRNA from 1 species